UGCUGCAUCCACAAGCCCACGAGCCAGGAGC
rnacentral:piRNA from 1 species